rnacentral:RNase_P_RNA from 1 species
CCAUGAAGGGUGAGGGGAGGAAAGUCCGGGCACCAAAGAGCAGCACAGUCGCUAACAGCGACCGCUCGUAAGGGUAGGGCUAGUGCAACAGAAACAAACCGCCCAGCUCUUUCUAAAUUCUUUUAGUCAGUUUAGCGCUAUGUAAUAUAUGUUGAUGUACUGAACACUAACAGAGCUUAGAAAGGGCUGGGUAAGGGUGAAAUCGUGAGGUAAGAGCUCACGCAUCGCUAUGGUGACAUAGCGAUGGGGUAAACCCUGUGUGGUGCAAGACAAGUGGCCCAGCCAUUUCUAGUCAGCUUAUGAAUUAAAUUUCCACAAGGAAAAAUAGUUCUCCGACUGAUGGAAAUCGGCUCGGUUUCGAAAGGGCUGGGCUUGUCGCUUAGAUAGAUGGUUGCCUAAACAGAACCCGGCUUAUCGACUGCUUGGAUUU